rnacentral:rRNA from 1 species
AACNGAACUUGGCGAGCUAAGCUAAUACCGGAUAAGACCACAUUUCAUAAGAAAUGCGGGAAAAGGAGUCUCAACCUUCACUCGAGGAUGAGUUCGCGGACCAUUAGCUUGUUGGUGAGAUAAAAGCUCACCAAGGCUACGAUGUUUAGCCGGCCUGAGGGG